CUACGGGGGGCUCCAGUGGGGAAUAUUGGACAAUGGGCGCAAGCCUGAUCCAGCAAUACCGCGUGUGUGAAGAAGGCCUGCGGGUUGUAAAGCACUUUCAAUUGUGAAGAAAAGCGAGAGGUUAAUAGCCUUUUGUCUUGACGUUAACUUUAGAAGAAGCACCGGCUAACUCCGUGCCAGCAGCCGCGGUAAUACAGAGGGUGCGAGCGUUAAUCGGAAUUACUGGGCGUAAAGCGUGCGUAGGCGGUUUAGUAAGUCAGAUGUGAAAGCCCUGGGCUCAACCUGGGAACUGCAUUUGAAACUGCUGAACUAGAGUGUGGUAGAGGGAAGUGGAAUUCCGGGUGUAGCGGUGAAAUGCGUAGAUAUCCGGAGGAACACCAGUGGCGAAGGCGACUUCCUGGACCAACACUGACGCUGAGGUACGAAAGCGUGGGUAGCAAACAGGAUUAGAUACCCGAGUAGUC
rnacentral:rRNA from 1 species